AUGCACGUGUGUUGUUCUUCCUUCCAGUUGUUUCUUUCCUCAUGCAUGAUUUCUUUCCCAAAAACGCCUUGCUUUUCCGCUUUGGCCUACCUCUAACAGGCCCCCAACACUGACAUGUGGCUCAUCCUUAACUAGAUUGGUCAUGAUUAAGGUGACAUGAUGUUCAAAAACAUAUACUCAAGGUAAGAUUAUGAUAUGAAUACAUUAGCAUGGAAUCAUUGUAUAAGAGUCAAACCCUAUUACGUUGGCCUUCAGGCCUAAAUCAAAGUAAUUAUUAAUAAGGAAUAUUGGGGGCAUUGGUAUUUCACUUUCAAAGGUGAAAUUAUUGAAUUUUUAAAAGACGAACCAUUACAAAAGCAUUUUCCAGGGAGUUUUUCAUUAAUCAAGAGUGAAUGCUAAAGACUCAAAGAUGAUUAAAUACCAUCCUAAUCUCAAAUAUAAACAAUAUUGACUAGGGAUCAAUCAAUGUUGCUCUAAGGACUCCUUAAACAACUUAUAAGAAACUAGAGUGUUUGGGUU
rnacentral:ncRNA from 1 species